rnacentral:rRNA from 1 species
CUGAGUAUUAGGCAAAUCCGGUACUCGUUAAGGCUGAGCUGUGAUGGGGAGAAGACAUUGUGUCUUCGAGUCGUUGAUUUCACACUGCCGAGAAAAGCCUCUAGAUAGAAAAUAGGUGCCCGUACCGUAAACCGACACAGGUAGUCAAGAUGAGAAUUCUAAGGUGAGCGAGCGAACUCUCGUUAAGGAACUCGGCAAAAUGACCCCGUAACUUCGGGAGAAGGGGUGCUCUUUAGGGUUAACGCCCAGAAGAGCCGCAGUGAAUAGGCCCAAGCGACUGUUUAUCAAAAACACAGGUCUCUGCUAAACCGUAAGGUGAUGUAUAGGGGCUGACGCCUGCCCGGUGCUGGAAGGUUAAGAGGAGUGGUUAGCUUCUGCGAAGCUACGAAUCGAAGCCCCAGUAAACGGCGGCCGUAACUAUAACGGUCCUAAGGUAGCGAAAUUCCUUGUCGGGUAAGUUCCGACCCGCACGAAAGGCGUAACGAUUUGGGCACUGUCUCAACGAGAGACUCGGUGAAAUCAUAGUACCUGUGAAGAUGCAGGUUACCCGCGACAGGACGGAAAGACCCCGUGGAGCUUUACUGUAGCCUGAUAUUGAAAUUCGGCACAGCUUGUACAGGAUAGGUAGGAGCCUUUGAAACGUGAGCGCUAGCUUACGUGGAGGCGCUGGUGGGAUACUACCC